rnacentral:rRNA from 1 species
GCAUCAUCGUUUGAAUUGUAGCUUCAUCGGUAUGUCAUCACGGAAAGUUUCGACAGAUACAAGUCUUCUGGAAAGAAGCACCAAAGAGGGUGAAAGUCCCGUGGUAUGAUCUGGUUGAUAUACAAGCUUUCAACACGUGUUUGAUGUUCCUCAGAGUCGGGUUGUUUGGGAUUGCAGCCCUAAGCAGGUGGUAAACUUCAUCUAAAGCUAAAUAAUCUGGCGAGAGACCGAUAGCGAAAAAGUACCGUGAGGGAAAGGUGAAAAGAACUUUGAAAAGAGAGUUAAAUCAGUGCUUGAAGUUGUUAAAAGGGAAUCGAUUGAAUAGUGAAACAAAUCUUUUAGCCAGUGCGAACGUCAAGACUUGGUUUACAAGCUUCAAAAAAACUUGUGGGCUUACUUCUUGAUGAGUCGGUCUGCAUCAGUUUGAAAGAGAGAAGAAAAGGGAAAAGAAGGUAGGCAGGACUUGUCUUGCUGUUAUAGCUUUUG